GGUUCGGUGGUCUAAUGGUAUGGCGUCUACUAGAUAAGGCUACAUCCUGCGAGAAGAAAGCAGGGCUGAGGCAUGAGGUGGGGGAUCUGGGUUCAAGUCCCAGCCAAACCA